rnacentral:lncRNA from 1 species
AACUUUAUUGUGUUGCUCACAGCAUGAGGCAUAUUCACAGACAGCGAUGGUGGGAUGGUGGGCCCAGGCUCUGGUCUCCAGCCCUUAUUCUACUACCUGAAGCACGAUGGGGACUAACAUCUCAGCCACUGAGAUCCUGGAUAGAAAAUCUUAAAACAAACUGAACCAGGGUUGUGAAAGGGUGGCACAAUAUGGAAUAAGAACAAGCUACAGGUGAAUUUCUAGAAUUCUGUCCAGAAAGCUUGACAUAGGCAGUGACAUUCUUCUUACAUAUAUACGGCCUUUGAGGCCCAAAUGAAACACAAAAGGAGCCAGGUCAGACAAUUUCUUUCCAGUAAUUCCUGAAAUACAACAAAGGCAGGGGAAACCCAUAAGUGAUAGAAUCCAGUUUUCCCAAAGCAGCGAAACUGAUUUGACUUUCUGGGUUUGAUUCACUGCUCCCCAACUUGCUGAAU